AUGCAAACAGCACGACUGAGAUCCCAAACAAAAAAACCACCGCCACCAAAAUCUGACUUUCCUUCUCUUUCAAAAUAUGUUAGUAAAACAUUUCCAUUGUGGAACAGUGACUACAAUAGAGUGCAUUGUUUUUCUACUGACUGGAACACCUGGGAACAGACAAAAGUGCUUAAUUUCUCUGAUGUUGGUGAAAAAGCUUUCUGCAGGCCACUGUUGAACUCUGCAUCUCUUUUGAGUGAAUACCAAUGAAGGGAGUGUUUUGCAGUUCUGUUCAUGAAAAUCAUCUUCCAUGAGUUAAAGUUGAUUGAUCUGUGUGUCAGAUUGAUAGGUGUGGCAUACACUACUGAGAAAAUUUAGGUUCAGGCUGGGCAGCUGAACAGAAAGUAGAGAGAUGUAAAUGAUGUGGAUUUGGCACAUUGUUUUCUAGUGUGUAAAUGAAAUUCCUGCUCCUAGAUUUUUACUGGUGCCUGAUAUAAAGGGACAGCACUGUUGGGAGUUAUCACAACUCUCUUCACCUUUCUGCUAUAUGCUGUAAUUUACUCAGUGUACCUAUUUCUUUUCUGAAGUCAAUACAAGGUGAUUUGAACUGUUAUUUCCUUUAUAUUGUUACAGGAGAAGGGAAUCAUUUUAAUAAUAAUUUCAGUAGAUGUUACCCCAUCUUCAUCAGUGAAGUCUGCAGUAAACAAAAGUGUCAUGUGAGGGAGCAUGGUAUAUUAUUGAUAUAUCUGCUUCUUCUGCUCAGAUCUAAGUGUGAUAUAGCAGUGGGCAAGAAAGAAAAAAACAGAGGGAUCAACAUUUUGCUUUCUGACUUUUAGGCACUUGGAUUUGUAAUUGUUUGGUAGAAGGAGAUUAGAAUCACCACAGAGCUGCACAGGUAGUCUCAGUUUCUUUCUGACCAUUGCGUUCUAAGUAUGUUCCAUGUACUGCCAGGCUGUGGAACCCAUUCUGUUUUAUCAUUAAGCAGACAAACAAUAUACUGUAGGCUCUCUUUUAUUUUUCUUCCAAAUCUAGGCAGUGUGCAUUCAUCUGACAAGGCUCUGAGAUAAUCAAUGGCCAGGAUAUACAGUGGUUCCUCAGUGAGAAACAACCAGUCUUUACUCCUUUUUCCCAGGGGCAGGAGAAUAAGGGACUUGGGACCUGGAAGAGACAGAGGUAGCCCAUUAAUCACAUUGUGAGGGCAGAGCAGCAAGCAUGCCCUUUCUCCCAGCUGUGCCACUCUUCUUCACAGGGAGCAGAUCUGUGUCCUGGU
rnacentral:lncRNA from 1 species